rnacentral:rRNA from 1 species
UACGUAUGGGGCGAGCGUUGUCCGGAAUGAUUGGGCGUAAAGGGUACGUAGGCGGUUAAUUAAGUCGAGUGUGAAAGGUUGGGGCUCAACCCCAUAAAGCAUUCGAAACUGGUUAACUUGAGAUGUGGAGAGGAAAGUGGAAUUCCUAGUGUAGCGGUGACAUGCGUAGAUAUUAGGAGGAAUACCAGUAGCGAAGGCGACUUUCUGGACACAUACUGACGCUGAGGUACGAAAGCGUGGGGAGCAAACAGG